CUCGGGGUUUCACAACUGGCCUUUGUUCGACAUGCCAAGGGCUCGGCCUAAGAGUACGGCUUGCCUUUGGAGGCCUAGAAUCUUAGGGCUCUGGAGACAGGUGGAUUGAAGAUCAGUUUCGGACCAAGAUAUUAUGUCAAAAGAAUGCAUUGAUAUAGGCCCCACCUGCAAAUCAUUCUUCAGAAUAUCCCUUGUUUCUCACUGGGCUGUUGAUCCUCCCACAGUGGUGUUUCCGGGAAAGAAAGGGAAUUAACUGCCCUGGUUUGGAUUGGCAGGGGAAGACUGCCUUC